CCUACGGGUGGCAGCAGUGGGGGAUAUUGCACAAUGGGGGAAACCCUGAUGCAGCAACGCCGCGUGAAUGAAGAAGUAUUUCGGGAUGUAAAGCUCUAUCAGCUGGGGAGAAAAUGACGGUACGUGAGUACGAAGCCCCAGCUAACUACGUGCCAGCAGCCGCGGUAAUACGUAGGGGGCGAGCGUUAUCCGGAUUUACUGGGUGUAAAGGGAGCGUUGACGGGUGUUCAAGUCUGAAGUGAAAGCCCGCGGCUUAACCCCGGAACGGCUUUGGAAACUGGGGAGCUAGAGUGCUGGAGAGGUAAGCGGAAUUCAUGGUGUAGCGGUGAAAUGCGUAGAUAUUAGGAGGAACACCAGUGGCGAAGGCGGCUGACUGGACAGUAACUGACGUUGAGGCUCGAAAGCGUGGGUAGCAAACAGGAUUAGAUACCCGGGUAGUC
rnacentral:rRNA from 1 species